UACGUAGGGGCCUAGCGUUGUCCGGAAUUAUUGGGCGUAAAGAGCUCGUAGGCGGUUCGGCAAGUCGGAUGUGAAAUCUCCACGCUUAACGUGGAGGGGCCAUUCGAAACUGCUGUGACUCGAGUCCGGUAGGGGAGUGUGGAAUUCCAGGUGUAGCGGUGAAAUGCGUAGAUAUCUGGAGGAACACCGGUGGCGAAGGCGGCGUUCUGGACUGCAACUGACACUGAGGAACGAAAGCCAGGGGAGCAAACGGG
rnacentral:rRNA from 1 species